AGUAAAACAAGAAACUUCCAGCCAAAUCUGAGCAUCAGAAAGAAGGCUUGUCAGUCUUCUUGAUGCAUGGUCUCUAUUGUUCUGAGA